GCUUCCCUCUUUCUUCGUGCCUAAUACAUGCAAGUCGAGCGAACGGACGAGAAGCUUGCUUCUCUGAUGUUAGCGGCGGACGGGUGAGUCACCCGUGGAUAACCUACCUAUAAGACUGGGCUACCUUCGGGAAACCGUAGCUAAUACCGGAUAAUAUUUUGAACCGCAUGGUUCCAAAGUGAAAGACGGUCUUGCUGUCACUUAUAGCUGGCUCCGCGCUGCAUUAGCUAGUUGGUAAGGUAACGGCUUACCAAGGCAAGGAUGCAUAGCCGACCUGAGAGGGAGAUCGGCCACACUGGAACUGAGACAGGGUACACACUCCUACGGUAGGCAGCAGUAGGGAAUCUUCCGCAAUGGGCGAAAGCCUGACGGAGCAACGCCGCGUGAGUGAUGAAGGUCUUCUGAUCGUAAAACUCUGUUAUUAGGGAAGAACAUAUGUGUAAGUAACUGUGCACAUCUUGACGGUACCUAAUCAGAAAGCCACGGCUAACUACGUG
rnacentral:rRNA from 1 species